GUGAAUCAUCGAAUCUUUGAACGCACCUUGCGCUCCUUGGUAUUCCGAGGAGCAUGCCUGUUUGAGUGUCAUUAAAUUCUCAACUCUGAUUCGAUUUGUUCGUACGUUGGAGCUUUGGGAUUGGACGUGCUGGCGUCGGUCGGCUCCUCUUAAAUGCAUCAGCGGAAUCUAACGUUUCGGACGUCAGUGUGAUAAUCAUGUUGCGCUGUCUGUCUGAUCUGAAAGCCCGCUCACAAUGGUCUUCGGACAACUUCAUAUCAAAUUUGACCUCAAAUCAGGUAGGACUACCCGCUGAACUUAAGCAUAUCAAUAAGGCGAGG
rnacentral:rRNA from 1 species